GAAGGGGGUCGGUUCAGCUGAGCCGCGUCCCUUUAAAGCCACGCCAACGAAGGAGAGCGCCCGGAGAACGUGUCCAGCUGCCGGCAUCCACCAACCUCCACUUCUUCUUCCUCUUCAUCGUGCUCCUCCAUGCCCGCUGCUGCUGCUACCGCCGCCAUGUCACUAGAAGAAACCCCACUUCCCCUUAGCAGGCACCACGUGGGCCCAGCGCCGCCAUCUUAGAGUGCACCCGGGCUCCGCCUCCUCCCUGCCGCGGCUGGAAACGGCGCCGACGGCAGCGGCGCUCGCGUGCUGCCGCUCGCGCCUGCAGCCCCCAGCAGGUGGCGGGAGUGAGGCGCGCGCCUCAAUGGCGCUUAAACGGUGGGGGGUAGGGAGAAGCCCGCGGCUGGAGAGCGCGCUGGGGAUAACGGCUGUGGGAACGGGCAGAGGAACUGGCAGCGGCAGGCCGGGCAGAGGAGUGACAGCCGAGGGAGGAGGAGAGCUCCCGGGGGUGCGGCAGGAAGCGGGUUUCAGGGCCUGAGCGGCUCAGUUUCAAGUGGGCGCCGUUUGCGCGAGCCGCGCUGUACCCCUCUUUACUCCUGCCACCACCGAGUCGGCUGGACCUGAGCUUUCCACCGUCUGUGAGGUUUUCCACAGACUCGUCAUUUUGCCGGAGUGGGGUCAUACCCCGUUGCUCAGUCCUCCUUUGUCAGGUUGAACAAGGCACAUCAUCCCGUCUUUGUUUCCCUUUUCAUCCUUGCAGUUUGCACCUGUGCCACUCUCCAUUGUGUGCUCGCCUUACGCACUCACCAUUGCAGAUGGAAUCAUGCCAGGCCCUUGUUGAGUGGAAGAAAGGGAAAUACUUUCCUUUGUGUUUGUUGCGUGUGUGUGUCUGACAAGACAACCAGAAAGCAUUAGGCUAAAUAUAGCUAAAUAUGGCAAAUACACUCUUGUUUGAUUUCCAUCUGACGAGUAUUUCUGACAUGAUGUGUUAGACAUUGCACUCUGUCAUCCUUGGUCUAGUGCUGUUCCUUGUAAUGUAAUUCUCUGUUGCUUUCCUUCUGUAUGAUAUGUUUUUGACUUUGUACUAAAAGUGUUUUCCUAUGCAUUGUGCCAAAGUCAUUAAUGAAAAUGUUAAAUAAAAACCCAACGGGCUUCACUGUA